GACUGGAUGGGGUUGAGCUAGUGUUACUCCGGCCAGGUUUUUGUUGAAGACAUAAGGCCCGGUAGUCAUAUGCAAAGUCCCUCAGGCAUUGUUGUGGCUGCUGAACCAUUGUCCUCAGCUUUUCCUCCACUUCUGAGAGCUCAGAGCGGGUCCCUUCAGUACCGUACUUAAGGUUCCUAGUAGUUCAGCACACGGAAGGGGCC